ensembl:snoRNA SNORA70 Small nucleolar RNA SNORA70
CUGCAGCCAAUUAAGCCAACUGCUCUUUUCCUCAGGGGGCCCAGUGUGCAAUGGCUGCCAACAGCAGCCUCCUCGGUAGUGUAUGUAGCCUGUUGCCUGUAUGGAUUGCCCUAAAGUACUUUGGAGACAGCC